rnacentral:rRNA from 1 species
GAACGCUAGCUACAGGCUUAACACAUGCAAGUCGAGGGGCGAGCAUGUCAGUGGCUUGCCACUGAUGAUGGCGACCGGCGCACGGGUGAGUAACGCGUAUCCAACCUUCCCCCCACGUAGGGAAUAGCCCGGCGAAAGUCGGAUUAAUGCCCUAUGUUUUCCUUUGAGAGCAUUUGAAGAGGAACAAAGAUUUAUCGCUGGGGGAUGGGGAUGCGUCUGAUUAGAUGGUAGGCGGGGCAACGGCCCACCUAGUCCGCGAUCAGUAGGGGUUCUGAGAGGAAGGUCCCCCACAUUGGAACUGAGACACGGUCCAAACUCCUACGGGAGGCAGCAGUGAGGAAUAUUGGUCAAUGGCCGGGAGGCUGAACCAGCCCAAGUAGCGUGCGGGAUGACGGCCCUAUGGGUUGUAAACCGCUUUUGCCGGGGAAUAAAGUGGCCCACGCGUGGGUUUUUGCAUGUACCCGGAGAAUAAGGACCGGCUAAUUCCGUGCCAGCCGCAGC